rnacentral:rRNA from 1 species
CCUACGGGGGGCUGCAGUGAGGAAUAUUGGUCAAUGGGCGAGAGCCUGAACCAGCCAAGUCGCGUGAAGGAUGACGGCCCUACGGGUUGUAAACUUCUUUUGUCAGGGAGCAAUUGGGUCCACGCGUGGGCUUAGCGAGAGUACCUGACGAAAAAGCAUCGGCUAACUCCGUGCCAGCAGCCGCGGUAAUACGGAGGAUGCGAGCGUUAUCCGGAUUUAUUGGGUUUAAAGGGUGCGCAGGCGGGGGUGCAAGUCAGCGGUCAAAUUGCGGGGCUCAACCCCGUACUGCCGUUGAAACUGCAUCCCUUGAGUGCGCGAGAAGUAUGCGGAAUGCGUGGUGUAGCGGUGAAAUGCAUAGAUAUCACGCAGAACUCCGAUUGCGAAGGCAGCAUACCGGCGCGCAACUGACGCUCAUGCACGAAAGCGUGGGUAUCGAACAGGAUUAGAUACCCGUGUAGUC